AUAUUGUACUAUAUAUGUAUAUAUCUUUUUAAUUUAGAAUUUUUAGGCGUGAGCAUUGUAUGUACUCGCACUACAAUAAAAAUGGUCUAUAGUGAUACUUUUAAAUAUAGGUAUAUGUCAAAAAAGUGCUGCUAGCUAAAAUUACCGACACUUUUAAAAAGUGUUGCUAUAUGUGGGGUCGCUAGGUAUAUAGUGACAGUUAAAGAGUGUCGCUAUAACCUAAAAGAGCGCUACUAAUUUACCAACACUUAUUUAAGCAUUUAGCAACCGCCAAAAUUCUAUCUCGUUGGCUGCGGUGGCGGAGGAGGACGACAGGAAAGGCUCUUCGUUUAAAAUUUCAGUGGAUUGAGUAAAGAGAGAAGAAAAGAUGGUAAUUGAUUUUUCUUUUUUUUUUCUUUUCUAUUUGUAAUCGGGCCAAAGGGACUAGGUGUGGCGGGUUGAGUAGAGUAAUCUUUUAUUUUUGGUUGGAUUGGACUUUAUAUUUAGACAUUAGUAGAUAUUUUUUAAAAUUUUAAAAUAAAUAGGACACUUACUCAAAAGUGUCAUAAACAUAUAUUUUUAUAAUCUAAUUCUGUUGUAGUGUCGUACGUGUUGUGUUCCUGGUUUUGGAAUGAA
rnacentral:lncRNA from 1 species